CUGUAACUCAGAGGUAGAGUUUCUGCCUUGCAUGUAGAAGGUUCCAGGUUCAAUCCUAAGCAUCAGGA